CAAAAUAAAAGAUUAAUGAACAUUAAAAUUACAAUGCAAAUUAAAACAACAGUGAAAUACACUAACUGAUACCAUCAAAUUGGCUAGGAUUUAAGAGUCUAGCAAUAGCGGCCUUUGAGGUGCUUUAGGCGGCUUGCCUUGGUCUCAGAAUCGCUGCCGCCAUGGCUAGUCAGUCACAGGGCAUUCAGCAGCUGCUGCAGGCCGAGAAGCGGGCAGCCGAGGUGUCUCUGAGGCCUGUAAAAGAAGGAACCGGAAGCUGAAGCAGGCUAUAGAAGCAGCUCAGGCUGAAAUUGAACAGUACCGCCUGCUGAGGGAGAAAGAAUUCAAGGCCAAGGAAGCUGCGGCACUGGGAUCCCAUGGCAGUUGUAGCACUGAAGUGGAGAAGGAGACCCAGGAGAAGAUGACCAUCCUCCAGGCCUGCUUCCAGCAGAACAGGGAUGAAGUCUUGGAUAACCUCUUGGCUUUUGUCUGUGACAUUCAGCCAGAAAUCCAUGAAAACUACCGCAUAAAUGGAUAGAAGAAGAGAGAACACCUGUUCUGUGGAGUGGCAUUUUAGAUGCCCUCAUGAAUAUGAAGCUUUAGCACAGCUCUAGUUAUAUUCUUAUGAAAUGGCAUUAAAUUAUUUCCAUAUAUUAUAUAGUAGGUCCUUCCACUUUUUGGACAGUAGCAAAUCUAGCUUUUUUGUACAGACUUAGAAAUUAAAGAUUUCAUCUUUUUACCUCAUAUUUCUUAGGAAUUUAAUGGGUAUAUGUUGUCUUUUUUUCCUAUGCCUUUUGGCUCAAGCAACAUGUAUAUCACUGUUGACUUUUUCUUUCUUAGAUCUAGUUUUAAAAAAAAACACCACAUAACCAUUCUUUGAAGAAAGGAAGGGAUUAAAUAUUUUUUUUCCCUAACACUUUCUUGAAGGUCGGGGCUUUAUCUACGAAAAAGUAGUAAAUAGUUCUUUGUAACCUGUGUGAAGCAGCAGUCAGCCUUAACAUAGUCCAUUCUUGCUAAUGGUUAGAACAGUGAAUACUAGUGGAAUUAUCUGGGGCUGCUUUUAGUUUCUCUUAAUCAAAAUCACUAGAUGAUAGAAUUCAAGAACUUGUUACAUGUUAUUACUUGGUGUAUCAGUAAUCAUUUAAAAGUAAAGACUCUGUCAUGCAAAAAAAAAAAAAAAAAAG